AUCUAACUUCUAACUGUAAGUCGCUUUUGGAUAAAAGCGCCAGCUAAAUGCAUGUAACAUGCUUGAAAGUUUCAACCUCAAGAGAGCAGUGCAGCAGAAACUUGCCAUAUAGGAUUUAGUGUCAACUAGAAAUAAGACCGUCACAAUGGCAAUGACCACCACGAGCGGAGUGCGAAGCAUCCCAGAUAGCAGUUGAUCCUAUCCGCCCUCCUGUCGCACUCGGUUUGGUCAUGCCACCGGAUCCGCGCACCAUCAGACAGCGUUGUGACUGCGGUGGAUGCUCCACGUUGUUGCCCUUCGACUUUUCAAACUGGUAUUUUCAAAACUGCAGCUCUUUGCGCCAGAAGUACGAGUUAGAAUUUGCAAUGUCAUCCUCACAGUUGUACAGAAGUGACAACACUGUUGAUCGCCAUCUCUACAAUUCAGAUAAAAAUGAACAGAAAGAAUGGGCCUGUCUCCAGCUCCACCAUUAGAUGGAGGGUCCGUCAAGAUGUUUUGACUACAUCACUGAUUGAUGGGAAACUGAAUACAACUUUGACUGUUAAGUAAAGUUUCUUCUCUUCAAUGUGUAUAACACGCCUAUUAUUGCCGUUUAAUCUCUUUUUUUUACGGUAUACCUCGUGUUUUCAAACACAAAUUUUCAUACUCCUGGUUAUAAAGAACUUUAAUAGUUGCAAAAUAUUAUUUUUUUCAAAGUUCUUGGAACAGAAGGUUAUAUUUCUGUGACAAGUGACACUGUUUGUUUCUUUCCUCUGUAAUUCAGGAUGUUCCACUUCAUAGAAUUGUUGACUAACAAAACGGUAGCAGUAAUGCCACAAAGCUAUACCAGCUUUGUGGCACUACUGCUACCGUUUAACCAAUUAUCCGAGGGACGAAAGGGUGGACAAGGCUGUCAGAAGCGCCGAACAACCUGGACCAGACUGGCAGACACGUGACGUCAGAGUAAUUGGAUCAUGCGAUAAUUACUUGGUGGAAAUAUAUGUCUUGCGACACAUCAGAUCUCCAGUCAGAAGAGGAGGCAAUUCCUAAAAAGAGGAAGCCAAUGCCGGUCCAUUUCUAUGGAGACUCGGAUGGAGACAGUGAAAAUGAAAAUUCCCCCCACAAAACAGGGGUCCAACCACUAGCGGGACAGUUGUCCCUCCAAUCAUUGCCUCCUCCUAACUAUUCCAUGUACUCCAUCACCAGCAGGACAGCGAACACGCCAGGGGGACACGCCCACCUGGCGAGGGGCGUGGUGUGGUUCAGACACCAUUGCCUGCUGUGCUGUUCCAGUUCAAAUCCUAGGCAUGCUGGAGACAAUUACAGAGGUGAGAGACCCGGUUCCGUUUCCGUGUACCACAAUGGAGGAAGUGGACCUUUUUGAGCAACGGCUCAAAGAUCCCGUCAACAUUCUAAUGAGUGAUGCCGUCAGAAAGAAUCAUGCCACACAUGCAUCCACUGAUGAACAGAUUCUAAAGCAUGCCAUUAGGUGGUUCAACCUGGCAGCAAACCGGGGUAGCUCCAGGAGGCGUGCUACUGUCGACAUCCCCCACACUGAACAGAAUUAAAAAUAUAUAUUUAUAUUUUUAUAUAUAAUAUAUAUUUAUAUUUUUAUAUAUAUAUACACACACACCAGUUCUCAGUUGGAAGUUCCACCAUUCACUUGAGGCCACUGCGACCUAUUCUCUGGGAGAAUUGUGGUAUUUGGGUUAGGUGGUCGGUAUUUAUGGUUGUAUUAGUUGUAGCUCUUGUGUUCUAAUGUGAGCUAUAGUUUUUACUCUAUAUGUAUGUGUGUAUAUAUUGUCUCGAACUAAUUAUAAAUAAAUAUGAUUCAUACAUGUACAAGAAAUAAUUUGAUGUCCUUUUAAUAAACUUUUUGAUAUUA